ACCGGCGCACGGGUGCGCACCGCGUAUGGACCUACCUUUUACAGGGGAAUAGCCCAGGGAAACUUGGAUUAAUGCCCCGUGGUGUGGCAUCACUAAAGCCUUCGGGCGGUAGAAGAUGGCCAUGCGUCCCAUUAGUUUGUUGGUAAGGUAACGGCUUACCAAGACUACGAUGGGUAGGGGCCCUGAGAGGGGGAUCCCCCACACUGGUACUGAGACACGGACCAGACUCCUACGGGAGGCAGCAGUGAGGAAUAUUGGACAAUGGAGGAGACUCUGAUCCAGCCAUGCCGCGUGCAGGAAGAAUGCCUAUGGGUAGUAAACUGCUUUUAUACAGGAAGAAAAAGGGGCACGUGUGCCCUACUGACGGUACUGUAAGAAUAAGGACCGGCUAACUCCGUGCCAGCAGCCGCGGUAAUACGGAGGGUCCGAGCGUUAUCCGGAAUUAUUGGGUUUAAAGGGUCCGUAGGCGGGCGAUUAAGUCAGUGGUGAAAGUCUGUAGCUCAACUAUAGAAUUGCCUUUGAUACUGAUUGUCUUGAGUUAUAGUGAAGUUGCCGGAAUAUGUAGUGUAGCGGUGAAAUGCAUAGAUAUUACAUAGAACACCGAUUGCGAAGGCAGGUGACUAACUAUAUACUGACGCUGAAUGACGAAGCGUGAGGAGCGAACAGGAUUAGAUACCCUGAUAGUUCACGGGC
rnacentral:rRNA from 1 species